rnacentral:rRNA from 1 species
GAUGAACGCUGGCGGCGUGCCUAAUACAUGCAAGUCGAGCGAACGGACGAGAAGCUUGCUUCUCUGAUGUUAGCGGCGGACGGGUGAGUAACACGUGGAUAACCUACCUAUAAGACUGGGAUAACUUCGGGAAACCGGAGCUAAUACCGGAUAAUAUUUUGAACCGCAUGGUUCAAAAGUGAAAGACGGUCUUGCUGUCACUUAUAGAUGGAUCCGCGCUGCAUUAGCUAGUUGGUAAGGUAACGGCUUACCAAGGCAACGAUGCAUAGCCGACCUGAGAGGGUGAUCGGCCACACUGGAACUGAGACACGGUCCAGACUCCUACGGGAGGCAGCAGUAGGGAAUCUUCCGCAAUGGGCGAAAGCCUGACGGAGCAACGCCGCGUGAGUAAUGAAGGUCCUCGGAUCGUAAAACUCUGUUAUUAGGGAAGAACAUAUGUGUAAGUAACUGUGCACAUCUUGACGGUACCUAAUCAGAAAGCCACGGCUAACUACGUG